CAGUUCUAUAUCAUACUGUUGUGCAACGGCAGAGCUGUCUUGAUCAACUAAUUGAUGGCUUGUCCCACUAUGGAGUUUUAUCACUCUUGAGAGAGAACCCCAGCUUGCGUGUGCUGCUUGACAUACCAGGAGAGGACAAAGGUCAAGAAGCUGAUUUUGUAGCUGGUAUUCUCAAACCAAGCUACUCUGCACUGGGGAGCAACAGAAGAGCUAAAGAGGAGUUGAUGAUGGUCAAAUUUAGGGAGUUUCUACAAUGUGUUGAAAGUAAAGAGCUGAGAGACACAUAUGGGGACAGGACUCUAACAAACGAUGAGGAGGCAUUCCUGAAGACUUUGAGCCCUGGUCACAUCCUGGCAUUUGCUACAGGGAGCAGCAAAGUCCCAGCCAUUGGUUUUCAUCCAACUCCUAAGUUAAUAUGUAUUCAUGAUGAAAACAAACAUCUUCCCAUUGCGCACACUCGUGCUAAUGAGCUUCACCUUUCUGUGAAUGCAAAAACAACGGCUGAUGAUGAUGAAUUUAACUACAGCUUCCUAGUAGCACUAAUGAAUGGAUCUUUAUUCAGCUUCAUUUAAACGAGACAUUUAACAGCUACCAUUUAAAGUACAAGGCUUAUUUUUUGCAAGCACAACUGGAGCAUAAGUGGAAUGUCCUAAUUUUGAUUUUUACUGUAAAUCUACUAAUUUGCUUAAAUCAGUUCAUUUGUAAAAGAACCCCUGCAGUGAAAUACACCACUGUUUAGUGUAGGGCUCCCCAUGUUUGUCAAACCAGGCUGCUGUGGUGUUCUGUGUACCCUCUGCCCCCUUCAUGGCAACAACCCUAAAACUAUACACUACAGCCCGGUGGUUGAUUGUGUCCAUGUCUAAGUGUGUUUCAUAGAGGACAUAGUUUGUCCAUAUUAUAAAGCAGUGAUUUCAUUUGCAGUACAUAAGUAGGCUGAAAAAAAACAUUGAAAAACACACCGUUAUUUGCCAUUUUUAAAAUUGUGUCAAAUCUUCUGUUAAGAGCUCUUUUGCAAUAAAUAUGCAACAUUUUGAUUUACACAUUAUGUGAACACAUCACUUCCUGAUUUCUGUAACAGCCAGCCAUAUGCAAUCAGUAUAGCCUAAUGAAAAAUAA